UGAAGGCCUGUCCUGCUGAAUCCCCUCUGCUUGUGAUUCAGGCUGACAACCUCCAGAUUUUGUUUCUUGCUGCAAACACACACGUGAGACAAGCUGGGCUGAUCUCCCAAUGCCGGGAAUAGGCAGCGAUUUCAUUCAGGGGGUGUAGGAACAGUGGCAGGAGGUUUUUAUUUUCAUUCUUUGUGCGAUUAUGAUCAGGUCCUCGGCAGCGCUAGUUCGGGAUCACCCGGCAAGCUUGGUGAGAGAAGCCUUUUGCCCCUCCAUCAUUUCCUUUCAUUCCUCAGGCCAGCGCAAAGGCGGUAAAGCAGCGGACACCCGUAUUCGGCUGCGUGAGCAAAGCAACGCACUUGGUGUUCCAGGCCAGAUACCACAAGUGGGUAAACCCCAAGUUAGAAGCAGGUUCAGAAGAGAUGCAUGAGAAGACUGAAAGGAACACCUAAAGGCACUUGUGUGCUGGCCUGAGCUGGGGAUAUUGCACAAAACCAUAAGCAUUUCGAUCUGCUCCGGCAUGACGUUUCAAGGAAGUGGGAAAGGAGAUGCAUGCUGAUGUCUCUGUGCCAUUAUUGACAACAUUUUGCCAUUUUUAACUUGUAGGGAUUCUGCAGGAACAAAGACUUUCCUCCUUCUGUCAUAAUUGACUGGAGGUUCUCCUGAUCCUUUUUUCCCCUCCCAUUUUUCCAGGUGAUUAAGCUGCUCAGUCAGAAAGCAUGACUACAAUGCCAAGAAGCCAGCAAUUUUACCACCACAAAAGGAUAAUUGUGUAAUACUUCAGACCGUAUUAGUUUCAGCACGGACUGACCCUCAGCCGGGGAUGACAGAGCGCCAACAUCUCCCAGCACAAUGACUGACAGAACUGGGACACAGCAAAUUGCACUUUCGAAGCCUGCAGCAGCAGCAGAGCUAGGGGAUACGCUUUGCAUUAGAAGCAGUCAUGUACUAUAUUCUUAGAACAAGAGAUAAAGUAGGACAGCACAUGACUACCUCCCUUCUAAACCAUUCCACUUGAAACAAUUUCUAUCCUCCUCUAAUUCUCCUUUGCUAGUCCAUAAGAGACAGUUGUCUGUAUUACAAGUGUAGUGUUACUUAUAUUCUUACACUACACUACAGAUUUGUAUUAAACUGAAGAGAUUUUGCUACCUGCAAAUGUCACAUUAAUUGAAAGAACAGCUUAGGGUGCGACAUCUAUCACUGGGUGAGUGAAAAGACUGCUUUUCCUCCCCUCAGCUCAGCGCUGCAGUUGAGCCUCAGCACAUUAGGGCUGUAUCAGAGGUCUCAGUGUGGCACCUGUAAAGACUAAGGCACAAUUGAGGCACUGAAGCACACAAGAUUUUGACACCCACACCCCACA